rnacentral:pre_miRNA from 2 species
CACCACUGAUAGUUGAAGCUGCCAGCAUGAUCUAGCUAUCCAUCCCUCCUUUAGUUUAUCUUUCAGGGAGAAAACUAGAUCAUAUGGCAGCUUCAUCUGUCCAUGGU